rnacentral:rRNA from 1 species
UACGUAGGGACCGAGCGUUGUCCGGAUUCAUUGGGCGUAAAGAGCUCGUAGGCGGCCACUCAAGUCGAAUGUGAAACCUCGAGGCUUGAACCUCGACGCCUGCAUUCGAUACGUGGGCGGCUAGAGUCUGGUAGGGGGAUCUGGAAUUCCUGGUGUAGCGGUGGAAUGCGCAGAUAUCAGGAGGAACACCGGUGGCGAAGGCGGGAUCCUGGCCAGUACGUGACUGCUGAGGAGCGGAAAGCGAUGGGGAGCAACAGGGAUUAAGAAACC